UACAGAGGUGGCAAGCGUUGUUCGGAAUUACUGGGCGUAAAGGGCGCGUAGGCGGUCCGAUAAGUCCCGUGUGAAAUCCCUCGGCUCAACUGAGGAACCGCACGGGAAACUGCCGGGCUUGAGUUCGGGAGAGGGAAGCGGAAUUCCGGGUGUAGCGGUGAAAUGCGUAGAUAUCCGGAGGAACACCGGUGGCGAAGGCGGCUUCCUGGACCGAUACUGACGCUGAGGCGCGAAAGCUAGGGGAGCAAACGGG
rnacentral:rRNA from 1 species